GGACAUUCCUCCAGUUGCGCAUUUAGCACGUAUACUGGCUGGUUGCGCAGACCCCGACCGUAGGGAAUACUGGUCCACGUCGAUUCCACCUCACCUAUCGGGUAGUAGACCCCUGGACAAAGACUGACGCUCAGGUGCGAAAGCGUGGGGAGCAAACAGGAUUAGAUACCCUGGUAGUCCACGCCGUAAACGAUGUCGAUUUGGAGGUUGUGCCCUUGAGGCGUGGCUUCCGGAGCUAACGCGUUAAAUCGACCGCCUGGGGAGUACGGCCGCAAGGUUAAAACUCAAAUGAAUUGACGGGGGCCCGCACAAGCGGUGGAGCAUGUGGUUUAAUUCGAUGCAACGCGAAGAACCUUACCUGGUCUUGACAUCCACAGAACUUUCCAGAGAUGGAUUGGUGCCUUCGGGAACUGUGAGACAGGUGCUGCAUGGCUGUCGUCAGCUCGUGUUGUGAAAUGUUGGGUUAAGUCCCGCAACGAGCGCAACCCUUAUCCUUUGUUGCCAGCGGUCCGGCCGGGAACUCAAAGGAGACUGCCAGUGAUAAACUGGAGGAAGGUGGGGAUGACGUCAAGUCAUCAUGGCCCUUACGACCAGGGCUACACACGUGCUACAAUGGCAUAUACAAAGAGAAGCGACCUCGCGAGAGCAAGCGGACCUCAUAAAGAAUGUCGUAGUCCGGAUUGGAGGCUGCAACUCGACUCCAUGAAGUCGGAAUCGCUAGUAAUCGUAGAUCAGAAUGCUACGGUGAAUACGUUCCCGGGCCUUGUACACACCGCCCGUCACACCAUGGGAGUGGGUUGCAAAAGAAGUAGGUAGCUUAACCUUCGGGAGGGCGCUUACCACUUUGUGAUUCAUGACUGGGGUGAAGUCGUAACAAGGUAACCGUAGGGGAACCUGCGGUUG
rnacentral:rRNA from 1 species